CGAGGGUUGCGUGAUCUCUAACUCGGAGGUAUGGAGAAUCCAAGCUCCAAAAGCUCCAAGCUCCCAAAACUCCUUUUAAGCUUUAAAUCUUCAAACACAAAGGUAGAAAUCAUGAAAAACUUGAGAGAUGGGUAGAGAAAACACGAAAACGACCAAAGGAAGGCAUAAACUCACCUGAGCUCGAUAAUGGGGAGAAAACUCACCCAUUUCCGAUCUGAGGGCCUUUUAUAGGUGGCCUGGUCGAAGACCUUCGGCAGCCUAACGUGCCCCCUAAACUCAUGCAUGUUCGGCGGCCGAACUUGACUUUCGGCGGCCGAACCUUGGCUCGUUUAAACAAGACUUUCGGAGGCCAAAGGCGCUCCCGAAGCCUUCCCAUGUUCGGCGGCCGAACUCCACUUUCGGCGGCCGAACCUGGCAAUUGCCUCCUUGGUCUUUUCCCUUCAAAACUCAAUUCUCUUUCCUUUUAAAACCAUGAAAUCAUGUGAAAACAUUUUAGAAAACACAUUUUACCCCUUCUAGAGAGAUCCAACACCUUAGAUUCCGCCGGAAGGCAGGAAUCCCGAUGCCGGAUUCUAGCCGGGUAUUACAGU
rnacentral:lncRNA from 1 species